AGAGUUUGAUCAUGGCUCAGAUUGAACGCUGGCGGCAUGCCUUACACAUGCAAGUCGAACGGCAGCACGGGUGCUUGCACCUGGUGGCGAGUGGCGAACGGGUGAGUAAUAUAUCGGAACGUACCCUAGAGUGGGGGAUAACGUAGCGAAAGUUACGCUAAUACCGCAUACGAUCUACGGAUGAAAGUGGGGGAUCGCAAGACCUCAUGCUCAUGGAGCGGCCGAUAUCUGAUUAGCUAGUUGGUGGGGUAAAAGCCUACCAAGGCGACGAUCAGUAGCUGGUCUGAGAGGACGACCAGCCACACUGGAACUGAGACACGGUCCAGACUCCUACGGGAGGCAGCAGUGGGGAAUUUUGGACAAUGGGGGCAACCCUGAUCCAGCAAUGCCGCGUGAGUGAAGAAGGCCUUCGGGUUGUAAAGCUCUUUUGUCAGGGAAGAAACGGGAUUUUCUAAUACAAAGUCCUAAUGACGGUACCUGAAGAAUAAGCACCGGCUAACUACGUGCCAGCAGCCGCGGUAAUACGUAGGGUGCAAGCGUUAAUCGGAAUUACUGGGCGUAAAGCGUGCGCAGGCGGUUGUGCAAGACAGAUGUGAAAUCCCCGGGCUCAACCUGGGAAUUGCAUUUGUGACUGCACGGCUAGAGUGUGUCAGAGGGGGGUAGAAUUCCACGUGUAGCAGUGAAAUGCGUAGAGAUGUGGAGGAAUACUGAUGGCGAAGGCAGCCCCCUGGGAUAACACUGACGCUCAUGCACGAAAGCGUGGGGAGCAAACAGGAUUAGAUACCCUGGUAGUCCACGCCCUAAACGAUGUCUACUAGUUGUCGGGUCUUAAUUGACUUGGUAACGCAGCUAACGCGUGAAGUAGACCGCCUGGGGAGUACGGUCGCAAGAUUAAAACUCAAAGGAAUUGACGGGGACCCGCACAAGCGGUGGAUGAUGUGGAUUAAUUCGAUGCAACGCGAAAAACCUUACCUACCCUUGACAUGUACGGAACUUACCAGAGAUGGUUUGGUGCUCGAAAGAGAACCGUAACACAGGUGCUGCAUGGCUGUCGUCAGCUCGUGUCGUGAGAUGUUGGGUUAAGUCCCGCAACGAGCGCAACCCUUGUCAUUAGUUGCUACGAAAGGGCACUCUAAUGAGACUGCCGGUGACAAACCGGAGGAAGGUGGGGAUGACGUCAAGUCCUCAUGGCCCUUAUGGGUAGGGCUUCACACGUCAUACAAUGGUACAUACAGAGGGCCGCCAACCCGCGAGGGGGAGCUAAUCCCAGAAAGUGUAUCGUAGUCCGGAUUGUAGUCUGCAACUCGACUACAUGAAGUUGGAAUCGCUAGUAAUCGCGGAUCAGCAUGUCGCGGUGAAUACGUUCCCGGGUCUUGUACACACCGCCCGUCACACCAUGGGAGCGGGUUUCACCAGAAGUAGGUAGCCUAACCGCAAGGAGGGCGCUUACCACGGUGGGAUUCGUGACUGGGGUGAAGUCGUAACAAGGUA
rnacentral:rRNA from 1 species